GACGAUCGGCGAUGGAGGAGUCUCCGCGAUCUCGUCGACUCCAAUCCCGAGAACCGGGAGGCCGAGAUUCAGCCUUCCGCUUCCUCUCGCGUUUGGAAUCGGAUCUUCCCGAAUUUCUGUUCUUUGUUUCUAUAAUCCAAUCUUUUGAGCUAAGAGAAAGAGUAAAGUAUCCCUUCCUUGUUGAUUCUCUGCAGUGUAGGAUGGAAUCGGAGCGUCGAAAGAGGUUGAGGGAAGGUUCGCAGCUUCUGAUAAGAGGGCUCGACUCCAUCUCUUCCUGUUUGUCCCAUCUUUCCAGCACUCUAACGACCACGCGGCAGGUAAAUUAUGAAUAUUGCGUUUCUGGGAGGAAUCGUUCUUCAGAUGGAAAUUCUAUCAUUUUCCCGAUCUUUUUUACGUUCUCUGGCGUUAAAUUUCUUACAGAAGAAUACUUGUAUGCUAUUUAACAAUUGAUACUCUUUAAAAUAUCUUACUGAUUUGACAUUCCGUUAUAUCUUUUUCUUCUGCUCCACUUGCAAUCGGAGUUGAUCCUCUCAACAUGUACAUCGAGUAUUCCACCAUUCAGCAUCUUUCUCAACUCGAAAA
rnacentral:lncRNA from 1 species